rnacentral:rRNA from 1 species
AACGAACGCUGGCGGCAGGCCUAACACAUGCAAGUCGAACGCUCGUAGCAAUACGGGAGUGGCAGACGGGUGCGUAACGCGUGGGAACAUACCCUUUGGUUCGGAAUAACUCAGGGAAACUUGAGCUAAUACCGGAUACGCCCGAGAGGGGAAAGAUUUAUUGCCGAAGGAUUGGCCCGCGUCUGAUUAGCUAGUUGGUGAGGUAACGGCUCACCAAGGCGACGAUCAGUAGCUGGUCUGAGAGGAUGAUCAGCCACACUGGGACUGAGACACGGCCCAGACUCCUACGGGAGGCAGCAGUGGGGAAUAUUGGACAAUGGGCGCAAGCCUGAUCCAGCCAUGCCGCGUGAGUGAUGACGGCCUUAGGGUUGUAAAGCUCUUUUACCCGGGAAGAUAAUGACGGUACCGGGAGAAUAAGCCCGGCUAACUUCGUG